AGUAGGGAUUCUAAUUCCGUGUCACAAUUAUGAACUUCGACUAUAAAAUGGUUGAACUCUAGUAGAGGUAACAAUUGAGGCCAGACAACAGGAAGCAAACACUUUAGCGUGUAAGAUUAACAAAACCGAAAUGGCAUCACUCAAGCAAGAGAAACCUACUUCCACUCAACCCACUGCCGGGCAGGCCAAGAAAGAGCCUGCUCCAAAAGCUUGUUGUACCACACCCAAAGCUCCAGCCUCCAAACCCGACCCUAAGAAGGCUGAGACAAAGCCUAGGGAGCUUAAGAAGAGGACAACAGGAAGCAAGCCUGCAGCCAAGAAUUAGAUGAAAGAAACGGUGUGAGGCGAGGAGUGCAUGAAGAUGCUGAAUCACUGUGGUCCUCCAUAUUCUGAUAAUAAUAUGUCUCUCCUUUUAGGCUUGGCCUGAUAAAUAAAAGAGAACUUUAUUUUAGAGGAACA